GUAGUCCACGCCGUAAACGAUGAGUACUAGGUGUAGGCGGUAUCGACCCCGUCUGUGCCGAAGCUAACGCGAUAAGUACUCCGCCUGGGGACUACGGCCGCAAGGCUAAAACUCAAAGGAAUUGACGGGGCCCGCACAAGCAGCGGAGCGUGUGGUUUAAUUCGAUGCUACGCGAAGAACCUCACCCAGGCUUGACAUGCAUGUGGUACUGAUGUGAAAGCAAAGGGACCCUUCGGGGAGCAUGCACAGGUGUUGCACGGCCGUCGUCAGCUCGUGCCGUGAGGUGUUGGGUUAAG
rnacentral:rRNA from 1 species